AUUGAACGCUGGCGGCAGGCCUAACACAUGCAAGUCGAACGAGUGGCGGACGGGUGAGUAAUGUCUGGGAAACUGCCUGAUGGAGGGGGAUAACUCCUGGAAACGGUAGCUAAUACCGCAUACCAUCAGAUGUGCCCAGAUGGGAUUAGCUAGUUGGUGGGGUAACGGCUCACCAAGGCGACGAUCCCUAGCUGGUCUGCGAGGAUGACGAGCAACACUGGAACUGAGGCACGGGCCAGACUCCUACGAGAGGCAGCAGUGGGGAAUAGUGCACAAUGGGCGCAAGCCUGAUGCAGACAAGCCGAGUGUAUGAAGAGGGCCUUCAGGUUGUAAAGUACUUUCAGCGGGGAGGCGUUACCCGCAGAAGAAGCACCGGCUAACUCCGUGCCAGCCGCCGCGGUAAUAC
rnacentral:rRNA from 1 species